rfam:Macrophomina phaseolina MS6 contig00523, whole genome shotgun sequence.
UCCGUUAUGGUCUAGGGGUUAGGAUUCUCCGCUUUCAACUGGAUUCCGAGGUCGAAUGGUCAAAACAUUCUAAUCCUCGGUGAGAGUCUGUGAGCCGGAGCGGCCCGGGUUCGAUUCCCGGUAACGGAA